ACGGGCCUGGGAACGACGACCCCUCGCACGAAAGAAACCUCACGACCGAGGCUACCCUCAUCUAUUCGCUACAACGACGGCAGCCAUGCCGCCGCCGCCACCGCGAUCCCUGAAACGCCGCCGAUCUAUUCGCUACAUCGACGGAAAUCAGGCGCUAGCCACGGAUCCCUUUGCCGGCGCCGAGCAGUCAUCGAGGAGUCGGCGCCGAUGUCCUAAAGGAGGCGCCGCCACCAUCGUUGCAGGCCUCCAGGUCGCCAUCGGGACACCGCUGCCGAGAUCCGCCUUCGCCUUCGUCCGGCAGAGGCGGCGGAAGGCAGCCGGGAGGGGAAGCGCACAACGACCCGGAAGACAUCCGCCCUCACGCGCUCAUCGUCUUGUUCGAUCUACCCGAGGGCUGCCGAUGGGCGCCUCGGCGGCGGCCACGGCGAGAUCUGCGUCUGGGACGUGACAAUCCCUCCACCCCGGUCGCCGGUGAGAUUUCACUCCCAGUUUAUCAGGUCGUCCCUGACAAAGAGAUGCUACUGCCGGGCACGUGCACGCACGUGGGGCGGCCGCCUGCGAGCGGGGCCGCGUCCUCUCUCCUUCGUCGACCAUGGCCUCCGAACCACUCCGUUGAGCGGUACCUCUGCGCCCAAGUGUCCGCUCCUCGAUCUUAAACAGAUUUGUUAUCUCCUCUCUUCCGUUGCAGGUCAAUCCCAAUUUGAUUUCUUAUCUGCUAUAUUGCAUUUGUUCUCCCAAAUGGGUCAGCGUGCCUUCUGUGUCAAAAUUUGGAGAUGUAGUUCUGAAAACCAGUGAACAAGGAGAAAUUUGGAGAUGUAGUUCUAAAACCAGUGAACAAGAAGCACAUGGGUGCCGCUCAAUGCUCUACUAUUGAAAGUUGGUGUGGUUGUUUGUCAGUAAAACUUAUCUGUAGUCAAGUCAUACCCAGCCCGUUGACCAUCAUCCGAAUGCUUCUGAUAAUAACCAAGUGUUUUCUAUUGAAUAUGUUACAAUCCAUUCUGAAGCAAACUGAGUUACUAGCAGUUUAAGAAGAUGUUAUACACCUGACUGACGAAGAUCUUUUUUAUAUCCACAAGGCAUUUCAUGACGAUCCAAGUAUAUUGCUGAUCAAAUAGAAAAUAUGUAAUUUUCUGUUUCGGUAAUAAACGGGCAAUUCAAUGUAUAGUUGGGGCAGCCUGAUUUCCUCUUACACAUGCCUGCUAGCAGCAGCAGUUACGACCAGGCGGUUGCGGCCUGACUUGGCGGCUCUUCCUUUUUGUUUUGUGUUUGAAUCAGAUUUGGCGGUCUCGAUUUUACAGGCAUGUGUUGAUCUUGGUCUUGUUCUGUAUGCAGGUAGGGUACACUUGAUGUUUCAUGUUUGGUGAAAGAAAAGGAGCUUCCUAUGUUGAUUUCGGGCAAGACAUACAUUCUGCCAUGCAUUAGUAGAUCAAUUGCUUCUCUGUGUAGGGGAACGAUUAGCGAUUGAAUCUCUCUGUCUCGUUUCUUGAUUAUCCAAUUAAUUUACCCUCAUCUAUGCAUAAAUUGGUCCGAUUGAGUUAUGCCAUUUUUCUAAUAAUCUAUAUUGGUUCUAUAUAUGACUAGAACAAUAUGAUACGAUGCACAUCGGUCCGCUUUACUGGCAGCUAUCUUUCAAGAUGGAGGGGAGGCACUCGUGUGGACCUGCUCAAUGUUCGAGGAGAUACGGCUGACUAAACAAGGUUAUUUUGAAGUUCUUUGUGGUUCAUGUUAGCUAUCUAUCAGUAAUAGUACAACCUUGAUUUUUAUGUCGUUCAGGUUUACCUAACAUUCAGUAACAUUACUUUCCAUUGGAGACUUCUUACAGGAGGUGCUUAUAAAAUGAUGGUUGAACAUGUACAGAUUUUGGAUCACGAUCAUCUAUUUACCAGGCAUCAGUUAACUCAAGGCAUCGACCAAAAUCUAGCAUUCUUUGUUGUGUGCACCAUGGAGAAGACAAAGAACAGAGAUUGUGUGAUAUAUCCGAUAGCGCAAUAUAAUUUUCUCUUGCAUAUUUAUAAUCUGCCAUUUGAAUGAUGUUUUCUAUGUUGUAGUCAAAUCAAGACAAUUUGCAACUUUGGUGUUGUGACGUUGGAGGCCGUGCUCAACAGCAAUGGGGGACUGUUCGUUGAUGCCCGACCCAUGAUGCCGGCGAAGGAAUGAGAGUCGACGAGGAGUGGACACCAUGGGUUUGUGAACUGGCGAAGCCUCCGUUGUCCGUUUGGUAAUGUCCGACGCAUCAGAGGCAUAGUAUGACUUGCCCCGAUUAUGAUGUCGUCUACAAACAUCCGACGGAGGGGAACCCGUCCCAGUUUCCAUCUUGAUGUUUCAGUUGUUGAGCUCUGCACUAUAAAACCGAGAAAUACCCAAGGCUUUUUACAGACUACAAAUAGAGGGAAGUUUGCAUGUGCCUUACUAGAGACAGAUGAACCAAUAAAAUGAUUGGAAAGGUUCUUCCCAAGCAAAAGAUUACCUAUGAUGAAAAUUACAUUCUCUGCGGGCGCUGAUUCAGAUAUAUUACUAUGGGCAAAGGAAGUUCAAAAUUUAUCUCAAUCAAACAUGUGCAAAGGAAAAUUCAAAAUUUGUUAUGUCAGGAAAAGAUUCUUAAACCAGUGAAGUAUCUAGAGGGCUUAUUAGGACACUGCUCAUAUUGUUUGAUACUUUACCAUCUGGGGAUUAGGCUAUCGGUGAACACGACAAUGCGGCUGUUGGUCACGGAUGCCGGGGGCGUGAGCGGGGUUGAGGAGCUCACAUGGUGCUAUACAUGACGACCUGCGAGUGGUGGCAGGAGGUGGCAUGCCUGCUGCUUGGCUGGAAGUCCGACAUGAACUCCCACGACCGACUGUAAGCAUGGUUGUGAAGACCUUCCAGCAUUACCCCAGGAAGCUAACACAUCAGCUUGUGCCAUACGUGGUGUUUUCUUGUUGAUGAAUGUUGGUCUAGGUAAUUUCUUUGAUGAACCAUGUGACAAUUAAUAAAGUUAAUAAAGGACAUCAUACUCUUUUUGUCUGCCUUGAUCGCAGUGGGGCGGGGGUGAGCCGUUGGAGAGAGAGGCGGGGCAGUGGUGCAUGCGUGCAGUGCGUCUGGACGACAGAAUGCAUGAUCGAGUGAUCGGUGUGGUGGUUGGCGGUGCUUGGGCAUUGAUGUUCGAUUUGAGAGGAAGAAGAAAGAUUAGCUGCUGAUUUUGGGGGGAAGAAGAGAGAUUGAGCGUGUUGUUGUUGUCGUGUGUGGUCUUGGGAGAGGAAUAAAAGAGAGUAGUAAAGAGCUGUAGAGAGAUAGCGAGGGAUUGAGAGGCUACUACUAUUUUUAUUGUUGUCGAUGCUUGCACAAUGCUAUUUCUUAUUAUACUGGGGUAUUCAUCUUUGGACUAAAAACAAUCAUCCCCCCCCCCCCUCAAUAUUUUAGUCAUGACUUAGUUUUACUUA